GAUGAACGCUGGCGGCAUGCCUUACACAUGCAAGUCGAACGGCAGCACGGGAGCAAUCCUGGUGGCGAGUGGCGAACGGGUGAGUAAUAUAUCGGAACGUGCCCAGUCGUGGGGAUAACGUAGCGAAAGCUACGCUAAUACCGCAUACGAUCUACGGAUGAAAGCGGGGGAUCGCAAGACCUCGCGCGAUUGGAGCGGCCGAUAUCAGAUUAGGUAGUUGGUGAGGUAAAGGCUCACCAAGCCGACGAUCUGUAGCUGGUCUGAGAGGACGACCAGCCACACUGGGACUGAGACACGGCCCAGACUCCUACGGGAGGCAGCAGUGGGGAAUUUUGGACAAUGGAGCAAGCCUGAUCCAGCAAUGCCGCGUGCAGGAUGAAGG
rnacentral:rRNA from 1 species